UGCUAUACUUAAGUGUUCUAUCAUGACUCGUCACGAGCUGGCGGAAAAUAUUCUUUUGAUUGGUGGAACAACAAUGGCAAAAGGAUUUUCUGCUCGUCUAAAAUCAGAACUGACGUCUCUCGUAGCAAGUGAUUUAUAUUCGAACAAAUUAAAAAUUCCUCACUUUAAAUUUCAUACCACUCCAUGCAAACCUAAUUACACGGCUUGGUUGGGUGGUGCAAUUUUUGGUAUUACUGAUUUGCCAUCUAGAUGUAUUACCAAAGACACUUAUUUAAAGACGAAUAGAAUUCCUGACUGGGUUAAUUUGAUUGAUAACCAAAAAGAACUAGGAUCUAAUUAUGGUGUAUAAAAUUGAAUAAGUUUUUUUUUAUAUGAAUAAAAUUAUUAACACAGUUAAUUAUAAAUUAU